GACGGAGGGUGCUAGCGUUGUUCGGAAUUACUGGGCGUAAAGGGCGCGUAGGCGGCCAGAUCAGUCGGGUGUGAAGGCCCGGGGCUCAACCCCGGAACGGCACCCGAGACGGUUUGGCUGGAGACCGGGAGAGGAGGGUGGAAUAGCCAGUGUAGAGGUGAAAUUCGUAGAUAUUGGCUGGAACACCGGUGGCGAAAGCGGCUCUCUGGCCCGGUUCUGACGCUGAGGCGCGAAAGCGUGGGGAGCAAACAGG
rnacentral:rRNA from 1 species